CAGUGGGGAAUAUUGCACAAUGGGGGAAACCCUGAUGCAGCCAUGCCGCGUGUGUGAAGAAGGCCUUCGGGUUGUAAAGCACUUUCAGUAGGGAGGAAGGUAGUGUAGUUAACACCUGCAUUAUUUGACGUUACCUACAGAAGAAGCACCGGCUAACUCCGUGCCAGCAGCCGCGGUAAUACGGAGGGUGCGAGCGUUAAUCGGAAUUACUGGGCGUAAAGCGCAUGCAGGCGGCCUGUUAAGUCAGAUGUGAAAGCCCCGGGGCUUAAACCCUCGGAAUUGCAUUUGAAACUGGCAGGCUAGAGUCUUGUAGAGGGGGGUAGAAUUUCAGGUGUAGCGGUGAAAUGCGUAGAGAUCUGAAGGAAUACCAGUGGCGAAGGCGGCCCCCUGGACAAAGACUGACGCUCAGAUGCGAAAGCGUGGGGAGCAAACAGGAUUAGAUACCCUGGUAG
rnacentral:rRNA from 1 species